CUUUUGCGUACCGUAUGUUUCCUCGGCGGGCUUGCCUGCCGGUUGGACAUUAUCAAACCUUUUUGUAGUUGCAAUCAGCGUCAGAAAACAAACAAUAAUUACAACUUUCAACAACGGAUCUCUUGGUUCUGGCAUCGAUGAAGAACGCAGCGAAAUGCGAAAAGUAGUGUGAAUUGCAGAAUUCAGUGAAUCAUCGAAUCUUUGAACGCACAUUGCGCCCCUUGGUAUUCCAUGGGGCAUGCCUGUUCGAGCGUCAUUUUGUACCCUCAAGCACUGCUUGGUGUUGGGCGUUUGUCCUGCAAAGGACUCGCCUGAAAGCGAUUGGCGGCCAACGUACUGGUGGUAGAGCGCAGCACAAUUUGCGUCUCUCCCCUCUGCGUCGGCGUCCAUGAAGCCUUUUUUCAACGUUUGACCUCGGAUCAGGUAGGGAUACCCGCUGAACUUAAGCAUAUCAAUAAGCCGGAGGA
rnacentral:rRNA from 1 species